rnacentral:rRNA from 1 species
GACGAACGUUGGCGGCGUGCUUAAUACAUGCAAGUCAACUGAAGCAGUGGUAGCAAUAUCGCUGUGGAGGUGGCGCACGGGCGAGUAACACGUAGGUAAUCUGCCUUCAGGUCUGGCAUAACUCCGGGAAACCGGGGCUAAUAGCAGAUGAUGCAGCGGCUCGACAUCGAGACAGUUGUUAAAGCUAUGGCGCCUGAAGAUGAGCCUGCGUCUGAUUAGCUAGUUGGCGGGGUAACGGCCCACCAAGGCAACGAUCAGUAGCUGGUCUGAGAGGAUGAUCAGCCACACUGGAACUGAGACACGGUCCAGACUCCUACGGGAAGCAGCAGUAAGGAAUAUUGCUCAAUGGGAGAAAUCCUGAAGCAGCAACGCCGCGUGAGGGACGAAGGGCUUUUGCUUGUAAACCUCUGUAGUGAGAGAAAAAAAUCCCAAUCUUUGGGACAUGAUGGUAUCUCAAAAGUAAGCCCCGGCUAACUACGUG